ensembl:lncRNA
UGUCAAGUCACUUCAGUUGUGUCUGACUCUUUGAGACCCUAUGGACUAUCGCCUGCCAAGCUCCUCUGUCCAUGGGAUUCUCCAGUGACCUGGGCAUGAAGCCAACACUAAAGGAUGCGGAGCAAAAAACAAUGGAAAUUCACCUUGAUGACAUCAUUGGGGUCCUUAAAUCCUGCCUACCUGGAGCUCCAGCCUGGGCUUUCCAGUCCAGUCGAUCUCCUUUUUGUGUGAUCCAGUUUGCGAGCAACCAAAGGAGUCAGCUGAUACAGACAUAGACGUGAGGGUGGUGCGCCCCUCACAUGGGCUGCAUGCCUUUUAUUUCUCAGGCCUCACUUGAUUUUGUGGUGCACAGAAUCAGGCCUGGUUCCCUGUACUAGGGGCUCUGAUGGAGUCCAGACUCUUAUUUCAGAGAGUUUUUGUUCUGAUGUGCUAUGUCGCUUUAGUCGUGUCCAACUCUUUGCCUAUGGACCCUGUGGACGGUAGCCUGCCAGCCUCCUCUGUCCAUGGGAUUUCCCAGGCAAGAAUACUGGAAUGGGGUGCCAUUUCCUCCUCCAGGGGGUCUUCCUGACCCAGGGAGCGAAUCCACAUCUCUUAUGUCUCCUUCGUUGGCAGAUUCCGAUACCUAUCUUCACAUGUUGCCUCUAGAGAGCUAAUGAGCAGGCAGUACUGGAGCAGGGAGAUCCCACUGUGCUGGACAUGUGUCUCCGUGCUCCUCAUCCCACCCCACUGUUCGGAGUUCCCCACUGGUCUGCCCUUCAAGUGAUGCAGAGCUGAGACCUGAAAACAGAUUUCUCCAAACGGAAGGUUAAACUGUGAGGGGAAAGGCAGGUGUUCUGCAAGCUGGGGGGCAACUCUGAAGGGGUCAUCUCUGCGCCAGAGCUCCUUGUGGGAUCAGUUGAAAUUUUUAUCACUGCCACCAUGCAUCAGAUUUUCUGUCACCCAGUCCUGUCUUCCUUGCUGUCUCAAGGUAGUAAGUAUCCUGAGAGCUCUCGUGAAUAAACCCUUGCACACUGAUACUCACCUCGGGAACCAGUGGAAAGUGCAGCUGUGGCAGGGGUUCCUAGGCAGGAACCUGGGAGGGUGGGAGAUAGAAGGGAAGGCCAGAAGAGGAGGGUGGGCCCCUGGCCAGGGCAAAGCCAGAUGGUCCAGUUCUGGGUCUCUAGAAUGUUCUAACCUUCUGCCCUGUCUUCAUGGCCCACUUUGUUCCUUGGUGAUUGAUCACAGCGGUUGGGGUGUGGGCUUUGGGGCCCUGCCUUGAGUCUGAGUCCCAAUUCUGUUUCUGACCCUCUGUGGGAUUUGGGGAAAGUCCUUUCACCUCUUCAGGCCUCAGUGGUGCCAACUGUAUAGUGGGACUGGAGGGGGAGAAUCAACAAGGGACACUACGGAGCUCUUAGCACAGUGCCUGGGAAACAGGGAGCAUAAAUGCUAUGUCUUAUGCAAUCCCUCCUAAAGUAGUUCACAAAUCAGCCUGCCUGGGCAAGGUCACCAUUUUCACAUUCCCCUCUAAGGCUUUCUUCUCUGCAACUUCCAUAACUGACAAGUUUCCCAAGACUUUCCAGAAAUCACAGAAGGUUUGUCCAUUUGGGAAGUUUCAUUCUAUGCCCUUUUGUUCCAUAAUAGCUGAUAGAAUAUCCAAUGAGAAUGGCUCAUUGGAACUGAGAUGUUACUGUGUGCCAGGCAGGGCUCUAAGAGCUCUGUAGGAAUUGAACUUUCAUAGCCACCUUGUGACAUGGGUAUUACAUUAAAAGAUAAAGAUACUGAGGCUCAGGGAGGUUAAGUAAUGGGAUCACAUAGCAAGCAAGUGGAGGCCUGGGUAAUGGCUAAGAUGAAGCCAGACUGGACUGGAUUAGAAUCCAUGGUCUCUGGCUCCGACCUUUAUUAGUGGUGUGUUCUUGGGUAAAUUAAAUUUGCUCUGCCCCAGUUUCUUUAUUUAUCAAAUAAAGAUGAUAACAUCCCUAUUUCACUGAUCUUUGAGAUUAAAUAAGAUAAUACCUAUAUAGUGCGUGGUCCAUAUUAUACAUGUAUUAUUUUUAUUCACCCUACACCAUAUGCUGACCACCUACCAUGGGAUAGGUACUGUUUUAGGUGCUUGGGGAAGAGCAGUGAAUAAACAGACACAGCUCCUGCCCCAUAGUGUAGACGUUCUGGAAGUGAGUGUUAGUCGCUCAGUCAUGACUGACUCUUUACACCCCCAUGGACUGUACCCCUCCAGGCUCCUCUGUCCUCAAGAUUUACCCAGGCAAGAAUACCAGAGUGGAUUGCCAUCUCCUUCUCUAGGGGAUCUUCCCAACUCCAGGGAUCGAACCUGGGGCAUUAUAGGCAGAUGCUUUACCAACUGAGCCACGAGGGAAGCUGUAGCAAAGGCCUAGAGGUUUGUAUUCAAGCCCCAGCGCAUCCAAGCCAUAGCUGAUCUUUCCAGGCAGUCUGAUCUCUCUUUCCUCCCACUUGAUUAAUGCCGAGAGGCAAACAGGUAACACUUAAUACUUUAACACACACCAUCCAGCAUUGGUUACUGAUGUUUCCAGCAAUCUGUGUUGCACUGGGCUUCAGGCCUGGGUGACGUGGGUGAGUGCCAGGGCAUCGGCGGGCAACUGGUUUCACCACUUACUUACUUAAUUUGCUUGUUUGUUCAUUCAUAAUGAACUUAUUUGCUGAACAAGUAUUUCUCAAGCCCCAUCCCAGGUGCUAGGUCAGGUACUGGGAUUCACCAUCAGGAUGGGCUUCCUGGACUGGAGGUGCUCAUGGUCUCAUGGGGAGAACAGAUGAGAACAAUCCAUGCCAUCAAAUAAAG